rnacentral:lncRNA from 1 species
GAAGGUAGAGAAUAUAAAGGAGAAAGAAUUUUGACACGUAUAUGCAGCCUUGAACUAUCGAGAAAAAGAAAGAAAGAAAAUGUUUACGGUGUCUUUAUCUCAGUGCUAAUGGAAAUUAAAUGUCGAGACGGUAUUUCCCUUGCAAAUACGAAGAUUAGUCUAUACUUGUCAAGGACGAAUACUGAAAACCACUCAUGCAAUUAUGGACAUUCUAUUUGGUUCACGGUGAAAAAGAAAAAUUGCUAGAACAAAAAUAGAACGUCAAAGAUAUCUUUAUACUUUUGUAAUCGUUGUUAAAUCUUCAAGGAUCUUGAUUAUUCCAAGUAGAAGAAAAUGAAAAUGUAAUGUAAGGAACGACAGAGUUCGUGAUUCGCACGAAAGAUUCUUCUCCGCGUCUGGAAGAGAAACGUCGACGGCAUAAAGAAUCGAUUCUUCGGAGUCCAGCGACCCUUUAGCUUCAUCCGCAAAUCGAAAACGUCGUUGACCAUUGAAUGCGUCGUCUGGGAUGCAUCUGUAUAUGCAUUGUAUCUGUGUAUAUUGAUGACAUCUACAGGGUGUUCUCGUUCAACAUCUCACAAAGUGUUGUAAUAAAUUAAUACAUUGUUUCUUUUUUCAUGUACAAAUUGUAGGAUAACAUUUGAGUCAUUUAUUUUGUUGAUACAAUAAUGAAGAAAAAGAGAAAGAGAUAAAUUAAGGAUAAAGAUUAUAUCUUGUGAAAUUUACAAGUCGUGUUAACUUCAAGGUUUCUCGAGAUCUUGAACGAAGUCGAGAUGAGCGUAGGUCGUCGCCGAAGAAACGAAAUAAAAAUUCCAUAAGUUUAUAGAGAAGAAGAAGCCGGUGAGGGGGAAGUAAAGUAGGAGGAGUAGGCGCCGCUGGGUAAUCGACCGAUCGAGUUUGACCGGAGUUGAUCGUUGGACGACCUUGGAAAAUAUCGUCUCUCUCGAAGGUUCAUUUAAAAACUACAACAUCAAUCGGUUGGUACCGACCAUUGAUUUGACUAGACUAAGUUGGAAAGUUUCGAAAGGAACUACCAUGGACACAUUAACAUUAUUAUGGUACAGUUAUGUCACCGGUUAAACGAAUAAAAUAUCAGCAAGAGGAUGUGAAUAUUGCAUAAACUUCUGUCUAUCGCGUCCGGAAAUACAAACUGAUAUAAAUCCUGUUAGUCUAUAUUCAUUUCAAGAAUUUUUAUGUCAUCAUCUGAAUCCAAGAAGGAAAAAAACGGAUAGAUAAGAUGCUGCAUCAAAAAAAAGCAGAUUUAAAUAGCUAUCGUACGGACAGAUAUCUUAAACAACGCUAUAUGAUAAUUAUAAGCAAGCACAGUUUGAUUAAUAAUUACAUCAUCAAUGUAAUAAGAUAUUUGAAUCAUCCAGAUUAAAUUAUUCAAGAAGCAUAAAUCAUCGUGAUCGUGAUUAUCAUCUUAUCCACUGGUCAAUCUUAUUAUUAUAAAAUAGAAGAUAAAUAAGAAAAAAAAAAAAACAACAAAAAAACAUGCAACUAAUCGUAAAAAAAGGAGAAACGGAAGGGAUUGUAUUAUUGGUCGACAAGCUUCCGGUUUGAAGCCCUCUCUCUACGCGGAGACCAUUCUAAGCAUUUGCCUGGCCUCCUCCGUUACACCUACGCACGUAUAAAAAGGCUUCGUUUACAAAUCAAAGUAAACAGUAUCGUCAUUGGGAGAAGUUAAACAUUCAUUUACGAAGAAGCGUGUCAUGUAUACGAAUGUUAUUAUGUACGAGCUCUGCUUGCAAGACGUGGAAGAACGCACGCGUAGAAAAGGAAUUUCGUACACCUGGUCGCAUUAGAAGAUAUUCGAUAAACGUAUUUAGAUAAGAAGAUUUUAUUUACGAAGCAAGUGAUGUCGUCACAGAAAGAAAGUCAACGUUCCUUUAGGAAGAAGCCGUGGUGGCUCAUUUAGAAACAUUGUUUAUUAGCUUUCGAGACUUGGAAGAAGAAGAAGAA